CUCAUUUCACGGUUUCCUCCGCUCUUUGUUUCUUUAUUAUAAUCAAACCUUUUUCUUGCCACGUCAAUACCUGUCUGCGUAAAAGCGGUCUUUUUAAAUUUGACGCCGUCGGGUAAGUCUGUAAGUAUUACUUUUUAUCGUGAUUAUUCCUUUUAUUUACAUUCUAUAAUUUUUGCUUUAUAUCUUGCAGUCAUUUUGUUAAUUUUUAUAGCUAUACUAAUACAGUUGAACUUAGGCUUACGAUUAUUGAUUCGAAUGUAUACAAAUUGGGAUUGAGACAAGUUCUGAAAUUAAUGAGAUGAAUCUGGAUGCAAAUCCUAGAUUGUAUUUGUAUUCAUACAACACGAGCGAAAUAAGCCACUUACACAAAUAAAAAUGCAUUUCUAUAACCUAAAACACCGCCGUAAAAAUGCGAAAAGACGGACAACUCACCAGGCCUCUCUGUAGUCGAGUUGUCUCUGGUGAGUUGUACGUGUAGUCGAGUUGUCCGUCAGCCCGAUGAUCAUAAGAGAUAAUGUUAUUCUUUCUGUUAGGUCAUAGCUUAGUACUGAAUGAUUCGUGAUGUGUAAUUAUUGAAUUGAAGACGACAGCGCAAACGAGAGCAGGCGAUCAAGAACAAGGAAAUGUUCUAGUCAAAACAGUUUCAAUCGGAUUUAUUCAAACAAUUCAAGGAUGUAAACAAUCCUUAAAUGUUGAUAUCAGCAACUGCUGGAGUGGAACAGGAAAUGCGAAUAUAAAAUUAGUUGCGACUGUCUCUGGUCAUAGCUUAGUACUGAAUGAUUCGUGAUGUGUAAUUAUUGAAUUGAAGACGACAGCGCAAACGAGUGCAGACGAUCAAGAACAAGGAAAUGUUCUAGUCAAAACAGUUUCAAUCGGAUUUAUUCCAACAAUUGAAGGAUGUAAACAAUCUUUAAAUGUUGAUAUCAGCAACUGCUGGAGUGGAACAGGAAAUGCGAAUAUAAAAUUAGUUGCGACUGUGGCAUUAGAUUGAGAUUGAUGACAACAUAUAUGUGCUGAAUAAAAACCUUAACGUAGAAGCGGUUAUGCGGGAAUGUUUGGCUAUUUUGAAGGCUCAUCGCUUGUAUUUAAUAUGAUAUAUCAUUCAAGUUUUUUUUUAUCUGUGCCAAAAAAUCGUCUAGGUCCAAGCUGCCAUCGUCAGGUAAGAACAGUAAAUCCAUUAUUUAUUCUGAUUUUGUUUUUCAAAAGAAUUGACUGCAUCCGUGUGUCGCUCGUGUUAUAUUGAAUAUUUCAUCACGUUGAUUCCCCUAACACAGUAACUUCUUAACUUCUACUAUCACAGCUAUAAUAUUAUACUAAACUAAAAUUAGAUCUAGAUUAAUAUUAAUUCAAAUUACUACAAAUUGGAAAUGCGACAGCAAGGUCUGAAACUUUUCAAAAUGGAACGAAAAUGGAAGAUAUAAUAAGCAUACGCCAGGAAUCUUUCGAUAUUAUCGAAAGGCUCAUUGAUGUAAAAUAUUUGAAUCAAAGGCUUCCGAAGGAUAUCGACCAAAUUAAUACGGUAACUGUUUAUAUGCAGUAAUAAGUGCACAAGAUAAAUCAAGAUUGGCGCGGGGUGUGGCUCAUCGUGC